CACGGGGGGAGCAAGCGUUGUUCGGAAUCACUGGGCGUAAAGGGCGUGUAGGCGGUCAAGUAAGUGGAAUGUGAAAUCCCCCGGCUUACCCGGGGACCGGCAUCCCAUACUGCUUGGCUUGAGUACGGGAGAGGAUGUGGGAAUUCCUGGUGUAGCGGUGAAAUGCGUAGAUAUCAGGAGGAACACCGGUGGCGAAGGCGGCAUCCUGGACCGAGAUUGACGCUGAGGCGCGAAAGCCAGGGGAGCAAACGGG
rnacentral:rRNA from 1 species